CUCUAGGCACAAAUAGUUAAAAAUGGUAACGUUAUUCAAAACGUAUUUGCUGGAACCCAGGAUGUAGGAAAUGGACCGGGCUCGAACUUAGCAAUUGUUAGACAGGGAGAUAGAGUUUGGGUAAGAGUUCACGACAAAUACCAUGAUACUGGAGAUAUUCUAGAUGUACCAUGGUGUUCAUUUUCUGGGUUCCUUCUUUAUCCUGAAGUUUAAUAAAGUUU
rnacentral:lncRNA from 1 species